GGCAGGAUAGCAAAGUGGUUAUGCAGCGGCCUGCAAAGCCGUAGACGUCGGUUCGAUUCCGUCUCCUGCCUCCA
rnacentral:tRNA from 4 species